rnacentral:tRNA from 1 species
UCCCGUUUGGCUCAGUUGUUAGGGCAUGGCGCUUGCAAUUCCAGGAUUGUGGGUUCGAUUCCCAUGGGGGAC